rnacentral:lncRNA from 1 species
AAUUAUUUGAACUUUUGGCCAUUACCAAUGAUUUUAAAAAUGCAUUUUAAGUGAAAUUCAAUUAAUUUCGUGCACCGUUCACACAUGCAUUUCAUGCAUGGAGGUGAAAACUCAAUUUGCCAAAACACCUUGAAACUUAAUCCAUUUCUUUAGCAAUUGGUUUAAGCAUAAUUAAACAUGAUUAGGGAGAGGUAUAAAAGCCAAACCCUAACUGUUUUUCAGAGAAGGAUGCAUUAUUUUCA